GACGAACGCUGGCGGCGUGCUUAACACAUGCAAGUCGAACGGAAAGGCCCUGCUUUUGUGGGGUGCUCGAGUGGCGAACGGGUGAGUAACACGUGAGUAACCUGCCCUUGACUUUGGGAUAACUUCAGGAAACUGGGGCUAAUACCGGAUAGGAGCUCCUGCUGCAUGGUGGGGGUUGGAAAGUUUCGGCGGUUGGGGAUGGACUCGCGGCUUAUCAGCUUGUUGGUGGGGUAGUGGCUUACCAAGGCUUUGACGGGUAGCCGGCCUGGGAGGGUGACCGGCCACAUUGGGACGGAGAUGCGGCACAGACUCCUACGGGAGGCAGCAGUGGAGAAUAUUGCACAAUGGGCGGAAGCCUGAUGCAGCACCGCCGCGUGCGGGAUGACGGCCUUCGGGUUGUAAACCGCUUUCGCCUGUGACGAAGCGUGAGUGACGGUAAUGGGUAAAGAAGCACCGGCUAACUACGUG
rnacentral:rRNA from 1 species